ACGGGAGGCAGCAGUGGGGAAUAUUGCACAAUGGGCGAAAGCCUGAUGCAGCGACGCCGCGUGAGCGAUGAAGUAUUUCGGUAUGUAAAGCUCUAUCAGCAGGGAAGAUAAUGACGGUACCUGACUAAGGAGCACCGGCUAAAUACGUGCCAGCAGCCGCGGUAAUACGUAUGGUGCAAGCGUUAUCCGGAUUUACUGGGUGUAAAGGGAGCGUAGGCGGAACUUUAAGUCUGAUGUGAAAGCCCGGGGCUCAACUCCGGUACUGCAUUGGAAACUGGAGUUCUAGAGUGUCGGAGGGGUAAGUGGAAUUCCUAGUGUAGCGGUGAAAUGCGUAGAUAUUAGGAGGAACACCAGUGGCGAAGGCGGCUUACUGGACGAUUACUGACGCUGAGGCUCGAAAGCGUGGGGAGCAAACAGGAUUAGAUACCCUGGUA
rnacentral:rRNA from 1 species